rnacentral:tRNA from 1 species
GGCCUCGUAGCUCAGCUGGUAGAGCAGUGCGGUACUAAAGCGAGGGUGGUGACCGUGCGUGGGUUCAAAUCCCGCCGAGGCCA